GGCCCGGUAGCGGAUGGUCUGCGCCUGCGUUCCAUAUGGGGAAGCUCAAAUGUCUGCAGGAGUCGCUCGUUCGAAUCGAGCCCGGGCCU